rnacentral:rRNA from 1 species
AACGAACGCUGGCGGCAUGCCUAACACAUGCAAGUCGAACGAGACCUUCGGGUCUAGUGGCUCACGGGUGCGUAACGCGUGGGAACCUGCCCUUAGGUUUGGAAUACCUCUCCGACAUGGGUGCUAAUACCGGAUAAUGUCUUCGGACCAAAGAUUUAUCGACUUUGGAUGGGCCCGCGUUGGAUUAGCUAGUUGGUAGGGUAAAAGCCUACCAAGGCGACGAUCCAUAGCUGGUCUGAGAGGAUGAUCAGCCACACUGGGACUGAGACACGGCCCAGACUCCUACGGGAGGCAGCAGUGGGGAAUAUUGGACAAUGGGCGAAAGCAUGAUCGAGCAAUGCCGCGUGAGUGAUGAAGGCCGUAGAGUUGUAAAGCUCGUUUACCCGGGAUGAUAAUGACAGUACCGGGAGAAUAAGCUCCGGCUAACUCCGUG